rnacentral:rRNA from 1 species
UGGUGGCGACCGGCGCACGGGUGAGUAACGCGUAUGCAACCUGCCCGAUACCGGGGUAUAGCCCAUGGAAACGUGGAUUAACACCCCAUAGUACUUUUAUCCUGCCUGGGAUGGGAGUUAAAUGUUCAAGGUAUCGGAUGGGCAUGCGUCCUAUUAGUUAGUUGGCGGGGUAACAGCCCACCAAGACGAUGAUAGGUAGGGGUUCUGAGAGGAAGGUCCCCCACAUUGGAACUGAGACACGGUCCAA